AGGACGAGACUGCUAUUAACGCUGUGAAAGUAUUGGCAACGCAAUUUCGUGAAGAUUUAUCCCAAUUUUUUUAUCGGUUUAAGAGAAUGGAACCACUCAAUCCUAUAAUUUGGAGUGAUGUUAAGGUAUUAGAGCCUACCAUAAUAGAAUUUGAUCUAAAUGAAGAAAAAGUUUAUUAUGUCGUUAUGGAAAAAGAGUUUUAUAAUAAUGUAGGAUAUUCAACCUUCACUGAAGCUUUCGAGUUGUGUUUUUCUCUCUACUAUAUUUUUGGUAUAAAAUUUUCCACACCAAUUACCAUUAGCUUUGAACUAAUUCAACGAUACAUCCUCAAUGAUCAUCC